ACCCGGGACCCGCCCCUUGGCCGGGGCCGCGGCCGCAGCGCCCGGAGGGGCCGCCCUGCGCAUGCCCGCGGGAGGCUCUCCUUCUGCCUCCGCAUGCCCAACGAUCCGGAGAAAAACACGGACCAUGACAUCAAAAGGGCUUGGCAAAGGAAUCGUGAUUAUUGUGAUACAAGAUUCUGCACCUCAAAGGGGAUCCCUGUAGUGAGUUUUGGAAAACGUACAAAGCCUGACUUACAAUAUGCCUGUUA